UCAGGUCGCUGCCGGCGUAGAUCGGAUCAGCAAAUAACAGGUCGUAGUUUCCCUCCUUCAGCUUCUUCAUGAUGGGUUCUGAUUUCAGAACGCCAUCCAAAAACUUAAAAGAAUUCCUUCGUUCGCUCUCGGCGUUUAUGACAUCAUCCCUCCAGCAACGCCGUCCGCACAACGACCAACUGGACAGCGUUUGACUUCGGAGCGACCUCUGACCUCAGGGGUUACAAGUUAAGCGGGCACAUCGAGCCGUUCCUCUGUCAGGCCUCUGGUCAGCGGACAAAGGGCAAAGGCCUCGGAGCUGUCACUCCUGGAUCCUGGUGAUGGCGCCUCGGUGUCGCUGGUGGCGGUCCAGGUUCGGGGAGGCGAGUGCAGCCGCUCCAUGUUGCCCCUCAGGAAGCUGA